AAAUUGAAGAGUUUGAUCAUGGCUCAGAUUGAACGCUGGCGGCAGGCCUAACACAUGCAAGUCGAGCGGUAGCACAGAGAGCUUGCUCUCGGGUGACGAGCGGCGGACGGGUGAGUAAUGUCUGGGAAACUGCCUGAUGGAGGGGGAUAACUACUGGAAACGGUAGCUAAUACCGCAUAAUGUCGCAAGACCAAAGUGGGGGACCUUCGGGCCUCAUGCCAUCAGAUGU
rnacentral:rRNA from 1 species